AUGCAUCUACUUGACAGUGCUGGAGCAGUUACUGUUGGCUAUUCAGGUUUCCACUACAGAUGCAAGAAGAAAGCAUCCUCAAGCAUUCUGUCUGUCUGGUUGUGGUAGCCCAGACUGAAUGCGGGGAUACAGGG
rnacentral:snoRNA from 1 species